rnacentral:tRNA from 1 species
ACAGUAGUGGUUCAGUGGUAGAAUUCUUGUCUUCCAUACAGGAGACCCAGUUGGACUCCUGGCUGUUAUA